UUUCUUUGCUGGCGACCGGCGCACGGGUGAGUAACACGUAUCCAACCUGCCCUUUACUCGGGAUAGCCUUUCGAAAGAAAGAUUAAUACCCGAUGGCAUAAUGAUUCCGCAUGGUUUCAUUAUUAAAGGAUUCCGGUAAAGGAUGGGGAUGCGUCCCAUUAGGUUGUUGGUGAGGUAACGGCCCACCAAGCCUUCGAUGGAUAGGGGUUCUGAGAGGAAGGUCCCCCACAUUGGAACUGAGACACGGUCCAA
rnacentral:rRNA from 1 species